AUUGAACGCUGACGGCAGGCCUAACACAUGCAAGUCGAACGAGUGGCGGACGGGUGAGUAAUGUCUGGGAAACUGCCUGAUGGCGGGGGAUAACUACUGGAAACGGUAGCUAAUACCGCAUACCCUCAGAUGUGCCCAGAUGGGAUUUGCUUGUUGGUGGGGUGACGGUUCACCAAUGCGACACUCCCUAGCGGGUCUGAGAGGAUGACAAGCCACACGGGAACAGAGACACGGUACAGAUUCCUACGGUAGGCAUCAGUGGGGAAUAUUGCACAAUGGGCGCAAGCCUGAUGCAGCCAUGCCGCGUGUAUGAAGGAGGCCUUCGGGUUGUAAAGUUCUUUAAGCGGGGAGGCGUUACCCGCAGAAGAAGCACCGGCUAACUCCGUGCCAGCAGCCGCGGUAAUUC
rnacentral:rRNA from 1 species